AUACGGAGGGUGCAAGCGUUAUUCGGAAUCACUGGGCGUAAAGGACGCGUAGGCGGGUUGGCAAGUCAGAUGUGAAAUCCUACAGCUUAACUGUAGAACUGCAUUUGAAACUGCUAACCUAGAGUAUGGGAGGGGGAGAUGGAAUUAGUGGUGUAGGGGUAAAAUCCGUAGAUAUCACUAGGAAUACCGAAAGCGAAGGCAAUCUUCUGGAACACUACUGACGCUGAGGCGCGAAAGCGUGGGGAGCAAACAGGAGUAGAAACCCCAGUAGUCC
rnacentral:rRNA from 1 species